UCGUCUUAUGCCAUAGCUCGAUCAGCCCCGUCGCAACGACUGAUCUUGAGCCGGAUGCCAGUACUUUGUGCAGGCACAAGACAAGAACAAAUCUUAGCAACUUUCUUUGAGUACGGGGUCUUUGGUGCUACACCAAAUGAAGACUUCCGUAAUUUAUCUGUUGUUACAUUC
rnacentral:snoRNA from 1 species